AUUGAACGCUGGCGGCAGGCUUAACACAUGCAAGUCGAGCGGAGAUGAGGUGCUUGCACCUUAUCUUAGCGGCGGACGGGUGAGUAAUGCUUAGGAAUCUGCCUAUUAGUGGGGGACAACAUUCCGAAAGGAAUGCUAAUACCGCAUACGUCCUACGGGAGAAAGCAGGGGAUCUUCGGACCUUGCGCUAAUAGAUGAGCCUAAGUCGGAUUAGCUAGUUGGUGGGGUAAAGGCCUACCAAGGCGACGAUCUGUAGCGGGUCUGAGAGGAUGAUCCGCCACACUGGGGCUGAGACGCGGCCCAGACUCCUACGGGAGGCAGCAGUGGGGAAUAUUGGACAAUGGGGGGAACCCUGAUCCAGCCAUGCCGCGUGUGUGAAGAAGGCCUUAUGGUUGUAAAGCACUUUAAGCGAGGAGGAGGCUACUGAGACUAAUACUCUUGGAUAGUGGACGUGACUCGCAGAAUAAGCACCGGCUAACUCUGUGCCAGCAGCCGCCGUAAUAC
rnacentral:rRNA from 1 species